rnacentral:rRNA from 1 species
CCUACGGGCGGCAGCAGUGGGGAAUAUUGGACAAUGGGCGAAAGCCUGAUCCAGCCAUGCCGCGUGUGUGAAGAAGGCCUUCGGGUUGUAAAGCACUUUCAGUGGGGAAGAAAGCCUUGGGGCUAAUACCCUCGAGGAAGGACAUCACCCACAGAAGAAGCACCGGCUAACUCCGUGCCAGCAGCCGCGGUAAUACGGAGGGUGCGAGCGUUAAUCGGAAUUACUGGGCGUAAAGCGCGCGUAGGCGGUCUGAUAAGCCGGUUGUGAAAGCCCCGGGCUCAACCUGGGAACGGCAUCCGGAACUGUCAGGCUAGAGUGCAGGAGAGGAAGGUAGAAUUCCCGGUGUAGUGGUGAAAUGCGUAGAGCUCGGGAGGAAUACCAGUGGCGAAGGCGGCCUUCUGGACUGACACUGACGCUGAGGUGCGAAAGCGUGGGUAGCAAACAGGAUUAGAUACCCCAGUAGUC